rnacentral:lncRNA from 1 species
AGAACAUUGGCUGCGACGACAGCGACUGAAGCGCAGCUGGAGUGGUAAGAUGGCGGACGAGCAGCUGCAGCAGCUCCGUGCGGUGCUACAGGGGGAGGGGAAGGUGGUUUCUCCUGACACAAGCUGGAGGCCGGAGCCUGUGGCACCCUGGCUUGCCUCACUGAAGCUGGUGGCUGUGACAGGGACUGCACGGCUGCUGGAGUGGUAGAAAGGCAGCCCAGGAGCCGCAGCCCCAGUGGGCCCAACGGUUCCUGUGGGUGGGGAGCCAGCCACCUUGGAGUCUCCAGUUCACUGAAACCUGUCACUGCCACCCAGUGGCCACCAUGACAAGGAAGCCAUCAUUCUGUAGAAGGCAGUGACGGAACAGUACCAGCAGAAAUUGAAGGACCAGCAGAAGGGAUCAUGGCCAAAGUUGCAGUGUCCCCCCGCUCGUUGAAGAUGAGGAGUUCUCAGAGAGCGGGAUGUUUGUGACAUUCCUCAUGUCAGCUCUCGAGUCCAUGACUCUCACUCGGUCGUCCAGGCUGGAGUGCAGUGGCACCAUCUUGGCUCAUUGCAACAUCUGGCUCCCAGGUUCAAUCGAUUCUUCUGCCUCAGCCUUCUGAGUAGCUGGAAUUAACAGGUGUAUGCCAACUUAUCUGGCUAAUUUUGUUGUGUAUUUUUCUUUCAGUACAGACUGGGUUUCACCAUGUUGGCCAUGCUGGUCUUGAGCUCCUCACCUCAGGUGAUCCACAUGCCUCAGCCUCCUAAAGUGCUGGGAUUAUAGGCGUCAGCCACCGCUUCUGGCCUAGAUCAUUAACAUAUCACUAUGAUACUAAAAUUCCCUCUGCCAAAGAAAAUCUUGCCAUUUUGUGACAUGAGUUGUAUAAAGAUGUAUGUUUAUAUGCACUGAACCUGUGCACCUAGAGUUCCACCCUGCUCAUGCUAACGUUGUUCUCCCUCCCCGUACCUAGUUCUUAAAAACUCCAUGCCUUCCAUUUUUCAGGGAAAGGGUGUCUUUAGAGCAAGAACUCUUUUCUUCUCCAUCCCAGGCAGGGAAAAAACCCACUUGGCCUUGUUUCUGAUUGGGUUUUCUUGCUUUGCGACUAAUACAAAGCAGGAAAAAACUCCCUUUAUCAGUGAUAAAAACAAGUAAGAUUAUUAUUUACCCACCUAUUCUAGCUAGGGGUCAUGGGUGGCCGGAGUCUCUCCUAGCAACUCAGGGCGCUAGGCAGAACCAGCCCUGGAUCUGGAAUAGGGUGCCAUCAUAUGGCAGAGUGUACAUACACACACACACACACACACACACACACACACACACA